UUUUUGUUGCAGAGCAUCUGCGUUUCUCUGAUGAUCAGAUGGAAACCUGGAGGAGCGAAUUUCAGAGAAUAGAGGAAGAAGGGGAUGAAGAAGGCUUUGAGGAGCUCUAGUAAAGUUGCAGAAUUUAUUGCUUCCAUCUCCUCUUAUGUUUGCUUUGUAGAGGUUUUGAGAUCAGUAUUUAUUUGCUUUUGAAAUGCCCAUCCCUAAUGUUUGUCUUGUUAGCUUGUUGUUGUAACCUAGCAGCUAUUAUGGUUCUUGGCAGCUGUUUCAACUUGAAAAUGAUAGUCUAAUGGUUAUCACAGUUGGACGUUCAUUUUGCUAGUGUUUUGUUUAAAGAUUAUCAGGUCGCCAAGUUGCAAAUGUAAAUCAAAAUUUUCUUAGAUUCAUGAUUCUGCUA